rnacentral:rRNA from 1 species
CAGUCGCGUUUGCUGGGACUCAACCUUGCUUUUGCCUGGUGUACUUCUCAGUAAAUGGGCCAGCAUCAAUUUCGGGCGCCGGAAAAGGAUUUGAGGAAUGUGACAGCUUGCUGUGUUAUAGCCCCUUGCUGUAUACACUGGUUGGGGUUGAGGUUUCAGUGCACGCUUCGGUUAUGCUUUGAUGCUGGCGUAAUGGCUUUAGGCGACCCGUCUUGAAACACGGACCAAGGACGUCUAACAUAUAUGCG